CAAGUGUUUUCGGUUCACGCGGCUGCGAUGCCUGCAAAACAAAAUCAUUAGUUUUCUGACUCUCGAACCUUUCGUUUCGACUAGCUUCUAAAUUUUAAGUAAAAAAUUAAAAAUUAUCUUAAAACUUGACCAACUAAAAAAUUAAAUUUUAAAAAUCAAGAUGUGUGAACCUUGUUGUGGACCUUUUGAGCCCCGAGGCUGCCGCAGUCGCGAGCUACGUUGUGGCAUUAUGUAUACGACGUGUGACUGCAUCAAGCGAAAUGGCCUACAGGACAAGUGUCCGCGGGCAGCUUGCCAAGGACGACCCGCAUGCAUGUGCUUCCCGACCCCGACAUGCUGUCCAGCCUCGUUCCCGUUGCGCUUCGCCAACAUGACAAUGGGUGUCAAUAAUAAGCGCAUGCGUUGCGCUGCAACUGCUGCAACAUGUGCUGGCGGCGGUGGCCUUGCCCGCUCCUGUGGAGGAUGCUGCACUGGCGGCGGAUGUAGCCCAAGUGGCCCAUGCGGCGGUGGUCCAUGUGGCGGUUGCCCAUGCCCGGCUCGUUACCUCAAAAGGAAACAAGAAAACUUACCCUGUGUCUGGUGUGCGCCUUGCAAAGCUCAUUGCUACAACACGCCUCCGAAAUGUUGUUGCUAGAGCUGUUGCUUUUUGAAUGGCGACAGAGCAAUCACCUUUUUAUGGUGACACAAUGGCCGGCACACAGUCACAAGACAAGUUGUUGUAAAAACAAACGUUAGUGUAGGAAAAUCUUUAGCGAUAUUUAGCAAUCCUCACUUCUGUCCGCAUCCCAAGUACACUUAUGUGGCUUCUGAUGAAAGAAGCAAAACAAGUUAAAAUGAUGAUAGUUCGGUGUUGUUUUUAUGACAUGAAAUAGCCAGGGGAAAUGCACACAGUUCCACAGUACGUCUCCUAGUUAAGCGUCCCGAGAUAUCGAACAACAAUUGCGGACGCAAUUGACGGAAUGUAUUUGUGAAAGUUUUGGUUGGUAAAAUUUGGAAGCAGGUUGGAUCAAAGUUUAAAUAUCGUGGCACCAUUAAAAACACUCGGUCCGACAAGAAGAAUGAACGAACUCACAGAAAACUGAGAUUAAUCAGGCAAUUUAUGGCGCAUCGAAUUAAAAACGGAUUUUAAAAGAAUACGUGAAGCCGACUGAACUACGGAGUUUGGAUGUAUUUUACUCAAAACUAAGUCGGUGAAAUGGAAUUUAACGGUGCGACCCUGGAAAACAAAAAACAUACAAUCUCAAAGUUCUUCUUCUUACAAAUUGGCAUAAAUUCUAAAUUUCUAGUUAUACAAAUUUUAUAUGCGCAACUUUUGGACCUUUGGCAAUUAAAUUCUUUUGGAUUGAAGCAA